UGCUCACCAUGCCCUCCAUCCCCACGGCUGUGCUGCUGCCCCAGGGCCAUCACAGCAGGCUCUGCCAUGGCAGAGGGCUCCUCGGUGUGCCCCCCAUCCCUCACCGUGUGCUCUGUGCCCAGCAGCAUGGCAGCACCCCCUCCCCCCCCGAGCACAGCCUUCCUCCCAGGCUUGGGACCGAGGGCCGCGAGGUUGUGUUCACUCAGCCAGAAACAUGAUGUAUCUUGUGGCCUCUGAGCCCAACCGCAGCUGUUUGUAAUGUCAGGGUACUGCUCCGAAAUGAAUUACAGCUGGUAUUUCAUCACCCGCGUUAUUCGGCUGAAGGAUAAAGCAGAGGAAGCCGGGACAAUUCAGCGAGGAGAGUGAGCUGACAGUUCGUGAAUAAAUGAUGCAUUAUUCACUCCGCUCCUGUUGCUCCGUGCACUCGUCCCUAUUCCUCCACUAAAGCUGCUUCCUUUCAAACCCGGCUGCGUUUCCAUCUCCCCGCGUGACCCGCAGUGACAGAUGAAACGGUCAGGAAAUAUGCUUUGGAAUUGCAAGUUCUGUCAGAGCUGGUUCUGAGAACCACUUGCAGAAAAUUCCUAUCAGCUGCUGAUUCUCACCCCUUUGCACCUCGAAUAUGGGGUGUGAGCUUUCUAAUGUGAUGUUGUUUCGUUUUUAAAAGCACUUCAGGAAUAACAGUGCAGGAUUAUUGUCAGAGCAAGCACUUUCUUUUCAGCAGCCUCUCUCCUCCCUCUUAUGGCUCCUACCUGGGCUGUUGCUGACUCGGCCUCUUUGUGCCAGGCUCUGCACAAACAGUGUGCACGAGUCCUGAUGUCUCCAAGCUGAGCAGAGCUUGGGGUUGGCUUUGGGUUUGGCUUUUGGAGCUGGCUUUGGGGUUGACUUUGAGGUUGGCUUUGAGGUUGGCUUUUGGAGUUGGCUUUGGGGUUGGCUUUGAGGUUGGCUUUUGGAGUUGGCUUUGGGGUUGGCUUUCAGCUGCUGCAGUCAAACCAGUUGGGAGCUGACACCUCUUCCAUGUGUCUGGGGUGGAAAUGCAUGGAUGGGGUGAGCACAAGCCCUCUGUGCCAACCCCAGAGUUAGGCUGGCACACUGAAAAUGUGGCCCAUCAUACAUGAUCCUUCUGUGGAUCGCACGUGGUCCUUCCAUGACAUGCAUGGAGCAAAGCAAGUCCCUGCUGUGCCACGGGUUGUGUUGGGUUUGAUAUACAGCUGAGGAAAUCUAAAACUUCUGUAGAGAUGCAGCACCAGAGAGGAAAUGGCACAGUUCAGUGCUGAGGAGGGGGAGAUGGAAGAGAAAGCAGUAUGAAGAUCUGUGCAAGGUGAGAUCUGGGCAACAUACCCAAGCAAAGAAGGAGACCCCAGACAAAAUCCAGAGAAGGGAAAAGAAGGCUUUGGGGCAGGGUCUGACAUGUGGCGUGCAGGCAAAGGUCAGCAGCCGGUGACAGUGCCCAUGGGAUGGAG
ensembl:lncRNA